GAUCAUUUUUCUCAUUCAUUCAUCAUUUUUGUACUAAUUGAAUGUGCAUCAUGCACAGGGUUUGAACCACUGUAGUAAAAAGUUGAGUUUUGCCAUUUUGAUAAUUAAGUGUUCAUUAUGUUAAUGCUCACAGAGAAUGGAGAGGCAUAUUUUACAGCUCCCCAAUUGAAAUGACUCGUAUUGGAAGGCUUGUAUUAGUGUAAGAUGCAACCGAUACCCUACCUCCCGUCAGUAAACGACGACGCCCCUCUCGUGAUCAUAGGUGAUGGGUGUGGCUCUGAAGAAAUAUGAGAGCAGCUCAUUAGCUGAUUCUCCUUUGAACAGUGCUGGAACUUGACUUGCUGUCUCAUGUACAUAAUUUUCCUUGUGAUAUAAUCCAAUGAACAGAAUUAUUGUACAUGUAUUGUGUUGUGUACAAUGCUCAUAUUGUAUUGAAUCCAGGCUGGCUCUGAUGUAGAAACUGUACAUACUUGUAAAUAUUAACUGUAUGUAAGAUAAUUGUACAGAAUCAAUUUUAGUGCUGAUUUUUUUUUUCUCUCCCCCAUACAUCAUUUAAUAUAAGAUGCAUUUAAGUGAAGAGUUUUCCUCUUAUUUUUUGAAGUACUAGAAUUAUACAUUAUAAUUAAAUGAAAGUUUGGGUAUCCCAUAUUAGCAGUUUUCUGUCACCACAGAAGAUGGACUGAAUUUUAAUUCUAAAAUGAUGUGGGAGUGCCUCAGUGUGGUUGCAAAAAGAAAUUUUAAAAUGGGUUGUAGUGUUAAUCCAUAUGUUUUGUCGUGUGUGGAAUUGGUUAAGUGGUGAUAUGUUUCAGAAAAUCCUGAAUUUUCUUUCUUAUGCUGAAUUUUUUUUUUGUUUAAGUAGAUACAUGUUGCUUAUACAAUGUACUAGGCUUUGGCCUUAAAAAGUAAUUUAAUUUUUUAUCUAUAUAGUUUGCAAAAAAAACAAACAAAACAAAAACUUUGGAGUACCUGAAUGUGCCAACACAGUUCAACUGUAUCUUUUAAAUGUAAUAAAUGCCAAGUUUUCAUUCAGAGAAAAUAUAUUGGGAUUGGUUUGGAAAUAUGAGGUUUAAUGAUAUAAGAAUAACUUGAAAAAUUUAGGGCUAUUUCUGUUAAAGUUGUAGGUUUUUGGAUUGUCAAUUUACUGCCAUUUGCUUGUUUUUGUUGCAUAAUUUAAUUAUAUAUUUUAUAUAUAUACAAAUACCACUAUAUAUGAGCUGCUUGCAGCAACUAUGAUAUCUUUUUUUUUGGCUUGUGAAUUGUUAUAUAUAGGGCGCGUAAAAAGAAUUAUAUAUCUGUACUCAUUCAUUUUCUAGUCUACAAGAGUACUAUGAUUACAUUACUGACCAAUUGUUGAUGUUAUUAAUAUUAUUAUCAUGUAUAGAUUAUAUGAGAGUUUUUUUUUAAAUUGAGUGAAUAACAGAGGUGUUAUAAGCUUUUGUGUGCCAGUCUGCUGUGGACUGAGUUUCCCCCUUUCUUUCCCUGAGUAGGUGACUGCUUUAUGUGCUGUAUAUGUCCCCGUGGAGAUUUCAGACAUGUCUUCUUACUGUCAUCAUGUAGUUUAGCAGACUUUCGUCUUAAUUUUCCUUGGUGUCAAUUCAGCAUAUUUUUAUUUUUAUAUCCAUAACUGUGAAUAAACAUAGCUCACACAUUUGAA